CUCUUCCUCUUCAUUCAACAGAAACAACAAUCUUUGAGCCAUUGAUCCGAUCAAGCUUUCGACAAUCGGAUUUCACAGGUGUGGGGUGGCUGGAGUUUGGAUCUGGUCCGUACGCUUAGGGAUCUCCAUCCAUAAGGGUGUCGACCCAAGAAUCAAGGUGGAGGUUUGGCCAAGAGCAACGGAGAUAAACAAGGCUGAUUGGAAUACCCUUUUCGAGCCCUACCCUUUCUUUGAUGCAUACAAGAACUAUCUGGAGAUUGACAUCAUUUUCUGAUCACUGCAGAAAAUGAUGAUGACCUGAGGAAAUGGAAAGGCUGGUUUGAAUCUCGGCUCUGCCAACUGACAUUGAAGGUUAAAGGGUUUCUGUUCAUUUAAGAAUUAUAUGAUCCUGGACCAUUGGAUAUGUAGCAUCCUUUGCCAAGGUUGGUGGAUACACAGUGGAGUACAAGGGAGACAACACUAGUGCAGUGAGAGGAGCAGGUCAUAAUUUCUUUCUCAAUCUUUUUUUUUUUUUGGUAGAAAAUCAGUAAUAGUUUGUUGAUGAUAACAUUUAUAGGAUAAUGAGAAAGUGGAUAUGAGAAGGCUUGUUGAUUGGAACCAAUCAAAGGGUA